UCAAGUUAUUAAGGGUGCAGGGCGAAUGCCUUGGCACUAGGAGCCGAUGAAGGACGUGAUAAGCUGCGAUAAGCUUCGGGGAGUUGCACGUAAACUUUGAUCCGAAGAUUUCCGAAUGAGGAAACUCACUUAGAGUAAUGUCUAAGUAUCGUAUGAUGAAUACAUAGUCAUGCGAGGGGAACCCGGAGAACUGAAACAUCUAAGUACCCGGAGGAAGAGAAAGAAAUUCGAUUCCGUAAGUAGCGGCGAGCGAACGCGGAACAGGCCAAACCAGUGAAGUUUUCUUCGCUGGGGUUGCGGACAUAUCAUAACGAAGAGGUAUCGUAGAAGAAGAGAGUUGGAAAGCUCCGCCACAGAUGGUAACAGCCCAGUAUUUUAAACGAGAAGACUUUAGAUAUGAUCCAGAGUACCACGGGACACGUGAAACCCUGUGGGAAGCAGGAGGGACCAUCCUCCAAGCCUAAAUACUACCUAGUGACCGAUAGCGUAUAGUACCGUGAGGGAAAGGUGAAAAGAACCCCGGGAGGGGAGUGAAAGAGAACCUGAAACCCUGCACUUACAAGCUGUAGGAGCACAUUUCUUGUGUGACUGCGUACUUUUUGUAGAACGGGCCAACGAGUUACGUUGUGUAGCAAGGUUAAGCACUUAAGGUGUGGAGCCGUAGCGAAAGCGAGUCUUAAAUGGGCGUCCAGUUACCCGACGUAGACCCGAAACCAGGCGACCUAUCCAUGAGCAGGUUGAAGCGAAAGUAAAAUUUCGUGGAGGACCGAACCCACGUACGUUGAAAAGUGCGGGGAUGACUUGUGGAUAGCGGUGAAAUUCCAAUCGAGCCUGGAGAUAGCUGGUUCUCCCCGAAAUAGCUUUAGGGCUAGCCUCAAGAUUAGAGAAGCGGAGGUAGAGCACUGAAUGUCCUAGGGGGUAUUGCACUUACCGAAGACUAUCAAACUCCGAAUGCCGUAUUCUUUUGCUUGGGAGUCAGACUAUGGGUGAUAAGAUUCAUAGUCAAGAGGGCAACAGCCCAGAUCGUCAGCUAAGGUCCCUAAAUGUAAGUUAAGUGGUAAAGGAUGUGGAAUUGCACAGACAACCAGGAUGUUGGCUUAGAAGCAGCCACUCAUUUAAAGAGUGCGUAAUAGCUCACUGGUCGAGUGAUUCUGCGCCGAAAAUUUCCGGGGCUAAAACUUACUACCGAAGCUACGGCAUCAUUAUGAUGGGUAGGGGAGCUUUCUAUACGGGUUGAAGCAUGACCGUAAGGACAUGUGGACUGUAUAGAAGUGAGAAUGUUGGCAUGAGUAGCGAGAUGUGGGUGAGAAUCCCACAGGCCGUAAACCCAAGGUUUCCAGGGGAAGGUUCGUCCGCCCUGGGUUAGUCAGGACCUAAGCCGAGGCCGAAAGGCGUAGGUGAUGGACAACAGGUUGAUAUUCCUGUACCACCAAUAACCGUUUGAGAAAUGGGAUGACACAGUAGGAUAAGCUAACCGCACUGUUGGUUAUGUGCGGGCAAGUAUUGAGGCAGUUCCGAUAGGCAAAUCCGUCGGAAUAAUGCUGGGGUACGAUGCGGAGCGAAAUUAAGUAGCGAAGUAGCUGAUUUCACACUGUCGAGAAAAGUCUCUAUCGAGGUUAAAGGUGCCUGUACCGCAAACCGACACAGGUGGGUGAGGAGAGUAUCCUAAGGCCAGCGAGAGAACUGUUGUUAAGGAACUCGGCAAAAUGACCCCGUAACUUAGGGAGAAGGGGUGCCUUCGAAAGAAGGCCGCAGAGAAUAGGCCCAAGCGACUGUUUACCAAAAACAUAGGUUUCUGCUAAGUCGCAAGACGAUGUAUAGGAGCUGACGCCUGCCCGGUGCUGGAAGGUUAAGGGGAUCUGUUAGAGCAAUCGAAGCAGUGAACUUAAGCCCCAGUAAACGGCGGCCGUAACUAUAACGGUCCUAAGGUAGCGAAAUUCCUUGUCGGGUAAGUUCCGACCC
rnacentral:rRNA from 1 species